rnacentral:lncRNA from 1 species
UCACGAGUGGUAUUUUAUUAGACUAUUUCACGAACAAAGUGAUAGGUCAAAAAUUCAGUAGAAUGAGAGGAAGGAAUUUAAUAAGAAUACAUUUGAUCUAGGU